AUGGCACUUGAGCAAGGAAGAUUGGCUGAGUUCCAUGGCAAGAACUUGGAUGAAAUUACAAUUAAUCCAGAUGGUAUGUUUUCAGAUUUGUAUCUCCUUUGUCUAUCUUUUUUCCAUCCUUUCUUUUGUUUGAUCACAUUUAAAAGCUGUACCGGUAUGUCUCCCACAGAAAAAGUUCUGGAUUGUGAUGAGGAAGAUGAGAAGAGAGAGGAAGAAAACUGUUCAUCUGCUGUUAAUGAGCAACCAGCAGACGAGACAAUUCCACCUACUGAAGGGAAUGAAUUCCCAUCAACAAUCAAGACACGCAAACUGCCAUCAGCAGAGGAAGUGGUAUCUUCUGAAGCCUGUGCUGUAAGACCUUCUUACAAAGGUAAAACAGGCCCCAAAAAAAAAAACCUUGGCAGCAGGCAGAGGUGCAGGCAGUCGAGAAGCACAUGAGUAGAUUCAUCACUUCUUGUAUUGUGCCAGCAAAAGAGUGACUGUGAGAAAUGUUUAAGAGCUGAACCAGUAGCUCUCAAGAACCGGG
rnacentral:lncRNA from 1 species